rnacentral:rRNA from 1 species
UACGAAGGGGGCUAGCGUUGCUCGGAAUCACUGGGCGUAAAGGGUGCGUAGGCGGGUCUUUUAAGUCAGGGGUGAAAUCCUGGAGCUCAACUCCAGAACUGCCUUUGAUACUGAGGAUCUUGAGUUCGGGAGAGGUGAGUGGAACUGCGAGUGUAGAGGUGAAAUUCGUAGAUAUUCGCAAGAACACCAGUGGCGAAGGCGGCUCACUGGCCCGAUACUGACGCUGAGGCACGAAAGCGUGGGGAGCAAACAGGAUUAGAUGACCCU